rnacentral:lncRNA from 1 species
GUGUGUGUGUGUGUGUUCUGUGUGAGAGACGAGAGAGAGAGGGAAAAAGGGAAGGGAGAGAGAGAGAAAUGAGAGAGGAGAGAGGAGAGAGGGAAAAAGUGACGGAAGAGAGAGAGAGGAGAGAGGGAUGUGAGUAAUUUAAGGGAUACUAAUAUUAGCUUUUAAUCUCAGCCCUUGAUUAAAAUCGAUCUAACGAACGAGAUUAUGACUCUAGACUUUGCAAAUAUUUAUGUUCUUGUUGAACUCUUCCCUAUAUA